rfam:Cucumis sativus cultivar 9930 chromosome 5, whole genome shotgun sequence.
AGAAAAAGAACUUGUCAGUUAGCCAUAAUGACAUGCCUGCAUUUGGAACUCGUAUUACUUGAGAUUAAAGAAAGUUAUUUCACAAACAUAUUCAUGAACUGUUGCAGGCAAGUCAUUUUUGGCUAUCACACAAUGCUCUUAUUU